rnacentral:tRNA from 1 species
GCUCUGUAAGCAAAAGAAAUGCAAUCAAUCUUGUAAAUUGAAAAAUAAAGGUUAAAAUCCUUUAUAGAGCU